AGCUAAAAACCACUAAAAUGAGUUUUUUUCUAUUCAAAAUGAAAACUAAUAUUUUGCGUAUAAUUUCUUGAACUGGAAAGGUAUGUAGCCGACACCCCGGGCCGUCUCGAGGAAAUUUAUGUUGUAUAUUUCAGACAUACUGUUAAGUUUACUGAUUUAAUGGUGCCAUGCCUGCAAGGAUCACCCUACAAUUCUCUUUCGAUAGACUGGAUCCUUGAUUGAUAUAGAGGAAAAACCUCAAUUUUUGAAACUACAAGAGUGACACAUCAAAUCGAUUGUAUGAGGAACAACAUGAAGGAUGGAAAUUUCAAAGCGUGCAAAAUAGCAUUUGAGCAUAUCAAAAGGGAAAGUGAGAUUCUGUAGCUCAAACUGGAGAAUUACCUCAAGGUUCUUUUUAAAAUCGUAUAAUAGUUUCUUAUCUUUUGCAUCUAUUUUGUCACUGUUGUAAUCACUCCGUCUCUAUGAAUUCUGAUAGCGAGUGAAUGUGACGUCUCCGGUUAAUCAGUGACAUCAGUAGGUAGUCAGUGAAGUAAUUGGAUUUAGAAGAUUAAGUAUGUAAUAGAAACAAAUGGGAAUAAGAGGGCAAAUUCAAUUUUUCUUUUUCUUUGUAUCCCUAUUUGUAGUGCUAAAAAAAUGGAGUCACUGAUUUAAGUUCUAGUUAUAAUAAUGUGACUUUGUAAUCUGUUUUCAUAUUGUUACUUGUUGCUUAGUGAAAGUAUUUGGAAUUGUCUCUUUCAA